CGCGGUCUACAGCGCUGGGCUAACAUCCCGCCGCCGCCCGGAGCCGGGUCUUGCUCGCGCUCUCGCGAGAGAGCCGUCAUCUCUCCGGUGCCCGGGAGAGGGGCCGGGCGGGACGGUACAGCAACCGGAGGAACCUUGAUUCCCUGCCCCGCAAGCCCAGCACCGGUUUUGCCGCCUUGUCUCGAAGGGUCAACCAGGCCAUCUCCUGCCUCGGGACGGAGAGCGCCCUGGAAAAGGCGGAGGGGCCGACCUUAGUCACACAAGAGCGAUGGCAAGAUUUUCACCCAAGCCAUCUGACUUGGAACCCAUGGAUUAACCAACUGCCACUGGAGGCAAAUCCAGAGACCAAGGGAGCAGUUUAUACAGAAACAGGUCUGUUAUGGGUGGAAUUAGGUCCCUUCAAAAGAACGUUGAAACCCUAACCCCCAGUACCUCAGAACGUGACCUUAUGUGGGAACAGGGUUAUUGCAAAUGUAAUUAGUUAAGCUGAGGUCAUCCUGGGAUAGAUUAGACCCCUACUCCAGUGUGACUGGCGUCUUUAUAAGAAGACAACCAGGAAAAAUUAGCCGGGCAUGGUGGUGGGCGCCUGUAGUCCCAGCUACUCGGAAGGCUGAGGCAGGAGAAUGGUGUGAACCCAGGAGGCGGAGGUUGCAGUCAGCCGAGAUCGCGCCACUGUACUCCGGCCUGGGUGACAGAGCGAGACUCCAUCUCAAAAAAAAAAAAAACAGAAGACAACCAUGUGAAGGCAGGGAGACACAGAGACAGCACCAUGUGACGACAGAAAAUUGGAUUAAUAUAUCUAUAAGCCAAAGAAUGCCAGAUCGCCAGCAAACCACCAGAAGUAAGGAAGAGGCAAAGAAGGAUUCCCCUACAGGUUUCAGAGAGGGAGCAUGGCCCUGCUGACACCUUGAUUUGGACUUCUUCCCACUAGAACUGUGAUACAAUAAAUUUCUGCUGUCUUAAGCCACUCAGUUUGCAGUAUUUUGUUACAGAGGCCCUAGGAAAUUAACACAGUGCCCUUCUUUCUUGAACCAUGGACAGCAGUUGGUAAAAGGGAACGUGAUGUCAUUCAGAACAUGAUAAAAGAGGGCUGUCCGCUGACUCCCCUCUGAACCUCAGGUGCCCUGGCUUCCCAGGGCAGGAGCCCCAUCCGGGGGCUGUGAUGAAGGGGCCUGCUACCCAGGCACCAUCACCACCACAUACUACUUGGGAAUUUUUUAGCUAGUUAUUUAAGAUCCUGAUUCUGGUUCUGUUUAAUGGGUGGCUGUCAGGAAUAUGGUUGGCCAUAUUUCCCAGCUUCCCAGAGCCCCCUCCAUUCUUCCCAGCUUCUUCCAAUUGGAAUUUAGUUUAGAAAUGGAGCCUAAGAAACUCUGCAGACUCCUUCAGGUAGGGUGAGGUUCUAUCCACAGCCAAUUUAGGUCCUUUAACUACAGCAAGGUUCAUGCAUGUAGAGAAGCAAUUAAAUCAUCAAACACUGUUACUUACCUCAUUUGAUUCAAUGGGAGAUACCUUCUGGUCCAACUAUUGAGAUCCUCCUGGAGGCCACCCAACCAUGCUGGAUGCCUGUGUAUGGGCAUUUGAAUUGCUUGAAUCUGUAGGGAAACUGCAGUGAACCCUUUCUGGGUAAGGUUUGCAAUCUCAUGUACCAUAUUUAUUUUGUUAGUUUGCAUACCCUUAGGCACACAGUUGCAGCUGAGAUGGUCUGAAACAGCAAGACCCAGAAGUCUCGCAGAAUUUCAGGGAGACAGGAGCUUCCCUGGGGAUGAGACAUUUGGCCAAGGUGACCCACUCCUAGGAGUGAUGGGGCAGAGUACAUAGCAAUAUGAGAACUUAGACACUGCACCCAAAUUUUCCAUUGCCACCAACCUCCACACAUCCCCUCCUAUUUCUCUGGAACCAUUUUCUGGAUUUACCUAUUCUAAAACCUAGCAAAUUUCUUAGUAAUCUCUGUCUCCCAUUUGAUCAGGCACACCAGUUUCCCACAGAUGAAUGCAUUCUACCCAGGACUGCCAUGAGCCUAUUCAGUGGCAUUAUGCAAAUUAGGCAACAGGUGUUCCAUUCCAUAGACAGGCACAGCCCUGUGCGAGGCUUCAUGGUGAGUGGAGUGCAGAAGCCCAGCCUGGACUUCAGCCCCUACUUGCCCUUGGGUUGGAUGCCCGUGUGCAGGGCUUGACCUGCAUGGCCCUCUGAGACACUUUUGUAGUUGGAG
rnacentral:lncRNA from 10 species